GCUGGAACGGUCUAGUUGGUUAUGACGACUGCCUCACACGCAGUAGGUCCCGAGUUCGACACUCGGUUCCAGUA
rnacentral:tRNA from 1 species